rnacentral:lncRNA from 1 species
AAUAACUGUGUUUACUUUUUUAUAUUGAUAUCAGUUGUGAUUUGCAAGUAUUUGAAGAUUUGGAAAAGCACAGUAUCGAUUAGGCUUACUUAUUGUUUCGUGUAUCAACUAAAUUUUACCCUCGAAGUCACCACUGCGCAGAAG